rnacentral:rRNA from 1 species
CCGGGCACUACGGCAAGACGUUCAACACCCGAUCCCAUUCUGACCUCGAUCUGCCGUCUUGCGCCAUAUGUACUGCGGAAGCGGGAGACAUGGUCAAAGCCCGGUC